rnacentral:rRNA from 1 species
UACGUAGGUGACAAGCGUUGUCCGGAUUUACUGGGCGUAAAGAGCGCGCAGGCGGUCGGUCAAGUCGAGUGUGAAAGCCCCCGGCUCAACUGGGGAGGGUCAUUCGAUACUGAUCGACUCGAAGGCAGGAGAGGGUAGUGGAAUUCCCGGUGUAGUGGUGAAAUGCGUAGAUAUCGGGAGGAACACCAGUGGCGAAGGCGACUACCUGGCCUGUUCCUGACGCUGAGGCGCGAAAGCGAGGGGAGCAAACGGG